rnacentral:lncRNA from 1 species
UUGUGUUAGGUUGUGUGGCAAUAUAUCUUUCAGGUAUUGUGAAAAGGCAGUUUUAUUAUCUUUUAGGGCAGGUUAUACGUGUCAAAUAAUUACAUCUCAAACAUCAAAUGAUGUGGCUUUAAAUUAUGAGCUCAACUUGAAAAAUGAUUUAUAACUGAUAGAAGUUUUAGAUUUAGAUGUCAAAGUUUUAGGAAUUGAGUUUUAAACUUUAAGGUUUGAACAACCAAGUUUCAGGUUGCACAUCAUGAAAAGAGCAGCUUUAGAUUAAAAUUUUAAGAUACGAGAAUUCAGAUCAUAUACGUCCAGUUCAACCGAUCCAUUUAAUAACCUAAUUUCAGAUUUGAGACACAAAGUUCAAAUAUCAUUGUUUGAAUUUGAAAAUUGAUGAGAGCACAAAAGUACAAUCGUCAGACCAUUUUAAUUAGUAUUUUAGCUAAUCAUUUAAAAUAAAAUUAACUAAUUAAUGUUUUAUUUGUGCAAGCAUCCCACAUUCCAUGUCCAGGUUCAACCGAGCCCAACUCAAUCUGACUUCUCUUAAUUCCCACGGCCAUCACCCUGAUGGAGUCGAGUCACUACCGGCUGCCAUCCCACCGUUGUCUCAGCCCAACUUUGAUUCCAGCUCCCAAUCGCGCGCAUCAGCGUAUCAUUGAUUCUGGUAUGGCACCAACUUGACCCAUGCAUGGCACGUUUCCCCCAUCUCAGCAAUCAGAGCACAAUCCCAGUGCCCGGAUCCGCGUCCCCACCUUCCGCAUACGUCCCCCUCUUCCCAAUCCGCAGUGCCCCAACUGUUCAUCGUCCGUGAUCCCACGCGCGUCUGCCCUCUUCACGUUCCCAGCGAUCUCCCAACGCCCAUCAAGCCGUGAUCUCCUUCCUUACGCGAUCAAGAUCCUAGCUCUUCCCGUGAUCCCAGCUUCCACCGUGGUCCAGCCUCCCACGCCCGUUUCUCUUCCCAGCAUGGCCCGAAGAAGCAAGCCGUGAUCGUUUCCUCCUAGCGCCCGGAUCCACGUCUCCUCCUCUUCCAAAGCUUCCGGAUUAGCACUCCAUCCCAGCUGCUCGUGAAGCCCCGUUGAUCGCGUCUGCCUUCUUCUUCCAUUUCGUCGACCCCGCGGCCAGCCUUCCGGAUUCGAAGCGUCAUUCACGUCCAGCCGUUCGUCCACCUCCCACUUCCAAUCCGGCACCCAAAGAAGGGAAGAGCAACGAUCCCGCAUCCGUGAAGGAAACCCCAGCAUCCCGGAUGACACGCAGCCCUUCCAUUUCCAGCACCCCAGUGAUUUUCGUGGCAUCCUUCCUCUUCCGCGUGCGAUCCCGGACGAUUCGCCUCCUUCCAGCAAAGAUCCCAACUCGAGGGGGUUAAUCUAUAAAAGGAGGGGCCAUCGGCAGAGGAGAAGAGGAGGAGCUCGGUGGAGGCCAAAGAAUAGAGGAGAGAGGAGCUCUCGGCUGGGUGUUGAGCCAAGAAACAGGGGAGGUGGUCGACUGGUUCAAGAGGGGAAGAGAAGGAGAGCUCGGUUUGGGAGAGAAGGAAGCUUUGUUUCAAAAGAAAAAAAACAGAGGAGAAGCUCUGUUUUUCGAGAAGAAGAAAUAAAAUCAUAUAUUUUAUUCUCUCUUUUAGUGUUCCACCGAGAAAAAAAAUACUUGUUCCUUUUAUUUCAUUUGUUUUUAUUUGAUGUUCUUGUAAUCAAUUUUCUUUUUAUGAAAUCCAUCAAUUUUCUUUUAUGCAAUCCGUGCUGUAGGUUUAGUUUAAUCUCUGCAAUUUAUUUUAUAUAUUCUGAAAUUCUUAGUUUUAAAAUAACUCUGAAAUUAAUCUUUGCUGUUCGACUGGCGAUUUUAAUUCAUAUUCUGUCUUCAGGAAUCGACCCCUACUCUGCAUCCAAUUUCAAUUGCAAAAUUUUCUUUCUUUCCUUUGUUCAUUUUCAAUUAGAAAGCAUUCAACAUACCCGACGUAAUGUUUUUCUUUUAUUAUUCAAAAAUUGAUUUUGAAUCCGAGUGAACGUUUUGAUUUUUAUGCAACUCCAAUCGCUUCCCUGUGGAUCGACCUCCUACAAUCGCUAUUCUUCGAGUAGGAAAGGUAAGAGUAAAAUUAAAUUAAACUUUGUUUGUCGGUUCUAACAACGAUUUGUUUAGCAUAGUUUUAGGUAAACAGGAAUCGGACAACAAAAAUCAUCAAGUUCCAACCAACAAAGUAUCAAGUUUUGGAUGCUGAACAACACGAAAUUUACGUUUCAGGUGUCGAACGAUGAAUCUAUGUCAAACAUUUGGUUCUAGGUUUAAGCUCCAAAUUUGAAACCAUGAUAGUUCAAAAGUUAGUGAGAUCUAAUGUAACAGGUCUUCAAGUUGCAAGUCUUGGAUUUCAAACUCUUUAAGAAUUUAAUUCUCAGAAUUUCAGAACAAUGAAAUUUAGAUUUUUCACAAACUUCAUUUUCCACAAAAUAAAAUUUAGAUUUCAGGUUUCAAACAGUGACACUUGAAAGUUCCAGACUUGAAAUGUUAUGAUCUUAUAUGAUAAACAAUGAAGUUUAAUUUCAAACAAAAGAUUCUUCAGCUUUCAAACAGGACAAUUUCAGCAGUCACAUCUUAUCAUCAUGGUAUAAAUGGAGAGUAGGCGAAGAGAUUGCUCUUGGAAAUGGGAUGAGAGAAUGCUAUGCCACCACCCAAAAACUUCCAUAUAUGGGAACAUACCAAUGGUAAAAGAAGAUCUAUUAUCAAAAGCCAACAUUGAUUUUGUUUCCUCUUCUCACCAAAGUAGCUUUUUCUAUGAAUACAGGCUGUUGAGUAGUUGAGUCAUUCAAGUUUUCAGAUCGAAAUUAUUAAAAUAACAAAAAGAGACUACCUUAGCUUAGAGGCCUCUUGCUCUUUAUCAUAAUAUACGUUACGCAGGCACAUUCUCUUGAUUACCAUAUAAAUAUAAGUUCAUCAGAAGCAUCCAUCAUAGUUGUUUAAAAAAGUUUCCUGUCGGUCCUCGACAUUAUUUUAAACCUGCCAUGAUCCUUCUGAUGGUAUACCAAAAGUGAUUUACUGUACCUCUAUUUUUCACAAUUGCCCUUUCUGUGUUCACUCUUGGGUGACCAAAUUACAAUUCAGUUUCACAGACUUGUCAAUGGCAAUGGCAUUGGAUGAGAUACUAUGCUCAAUAUAUAGACUUCUGGUUUUGUCUUCAACAAUGAAGCUGCUUUCAAAGUUUUAGAAUGUUUCAUCAGAUUAAAAUAAUGAGAGGAACAAGUGAAAUUUGAUAUAAGUGUUGCUACUGAAUCCUAAACCGAGGUUGGAGCGCGGCUUGGCUAAUCUUAGGGUCAGUAGGAACCGAGCCGGACGAAGUGGCCGAGGUGUGUUGGAGCUGGUUCCCUCUAGAUUGGCAUGUAAGAAGUCUGCUUGUCGAAGAGUUUCCGGUAGAAAACCCCCUGAUGCCUAAGUUAGAAUAGAGAGGCAAUAGUAUACAAUGAAGUGUUGUAAAAUUAUAGAUGGAGAGAAGGAAGAACUUAUCAGUUGAGGCGUGAUUUCACUGUCCUUAAGAAUAGAUCGCGCCCCUCGGAGAAUGGAUCUCGGUGUAGCAGGUAAUGGCGGCCUAUCCUCCAGGAUACAAAAUAGAGAGAGAGGAAGAUAAGAUUUUCACACCCGCGGGGGGGGGGUCCCCCCUGCGCGUGAUAAUCGCAACGCGCCCGGUUAAAGGUUUCCGGAUCGGAUUCGCCAAUUUUGGCUUGGACCUCCAUUGGGCUCAUGCACGCGUGGGCUACUUUCUUUCUUUGCUUCACCAAGUUAAAAGGUUGAAUACUAUAUAAAGAUCUUUUGAAUUUUGUUCCUUUCCAAUGUGGGACUAAAGAAAGUACACUAGACAAAAAGACAAAAGACAAAGAAGGGCAGACUCGGAAUUUUGAAAUAUUCCAACAUGAAGAAAGUUUAGCAGAGUAGUGUUCUGUAUGAGCAAUAUUGCGUUACGUCUUUCUUGUAUGUCCUACCUAAGGUCCCACAGACUGUCCCUUUAUAUAGGGGAGUCGAUUUUGUUGUUACUUGGAUCGGCGUGCACCAGUGGUCAGGUAGCGGCUGGUAGUACAGCCUCAGCAUGGACAGCAUAUGAUACUAACCACGCGUCGAAUGCAGAAUUGUUGCAACAGUCAGUCGCUGUCACGAUAACUGGUUGCCAUGACUGUCAGUCCCUAUCGACAUGUGUCGAUUGGUUCCUCGAUCGGAAGCGAAAUUGUUCACCUUAGCCGGCUGGCUCCUCGGUCGAAGGCAAAGUUUCACCUUAGUUGGCUGGCUCCACGGUUAGGGCUGAAGUUGCCUACCUUGAUCUAUACCGAGGUUGUCGAGAUCGGUCUGGUCCGAGAUUGAGGUAUCUAAUAUUUUUUUCAUCAAUAAGUACUAGAAGCAAAAUUAAUAUGACAAUUUUAGAUUAUAUCUAAGUGUGUUGGUAAGGGUAAAAACAAUGUGGUAUAGAAGGAAAUUGAGAUCACUGCAUAACACAAACACAAGAUACGCAUGGUUAUCCAAUAUAAUGACAACUAAAUAAUGCAAAAAGGGUUAUCCUUCCCAGAAAGUAGCACUUUCGUGUGGAACUUUAACAGAUGAGGUAGAGGAAAUGACACAAUGGGGCAAUGAACUUAUAGUUAUUUCAUAUCUACCAACCAAGGCUCUUGCAAUUCCACUAGCACUAGAUAUUUGAUGAGCCAUUAUAGUGUCAUUUAUUAUAUGCCAUGGACUUGACACAUCUUUUUCAUAGCAUUUGUUGAUUCUUAUUUAAACUUUUGUAUUUACAUAACUUGUAGAUGUCCUAAUUAAUUAGUCAAUGUUCAUCGUUUAAUUAUGUAAUCCUCAACGGUCCAUCUUUUGCACCGUGGAGGGCAGUGUAGGCUUGGAUAGCUGCCAUAUGGCCCAUCUUGAAAACAAAGGGCCCUCGCAAAAUCUCUCAAUCUCGCAUAUUUGGCAACUACCUCAUGCAUUUGGCAUCCCAAUGCAAUAUUCUACAUUUUCGAGAUGAGCAAGAGCUCUCCAUUUUCAAGAUGUGCCAUAUGGCAAUGAUUCGAGCAUGCACGGCUUUCUACAAUGCAAAAGAUGCAUGGUAUGAGACUUAUGAUACUUUAUGCGCUCCAAAAUCGUUGAAAACUGUAAUUAAGAUAUUAUAAAACGACAUCCAGUCUUCUGAAAUCUUCUUAGUUCCUUCUAUUUAAUAUAUAAAAAACAUGGGGAACUAAUGGUCUGCAUUUGUUUUCCAAGGGGUUUGAUGGAUGUUUCCAUUGGUAGUGUAGGUAUUGUGGAAAUAUCUUUAUAGUGCAGAUAGUACAAAUUGUGGAUAUUGAAAUUGGAACUUGUGGAUCAAUAGCUAAUAUUUUUUGCAACUAACAUAGUUUAUAAAGUACUAUUUAUUGGACUCAUCUAGAUAAACAUAUGCAUCAUACAUAUACAGGCAAACAAGCAUAUGCAUCAUGCAUAUCGCAACUUGUCAUGCCUCUCUCAAGAGUGAGGAUAGGUCGAGUCAGGUUAGAUACAGGCUGGGCCACUAGUCGAGCUAGGUACCUAUCAACCCACUUCGAACUUGUAUAUUAGACGAGUUAAAAAUCCAAAAUCGAAACCAUUCUCUUCAUUAAAUAGCUAACUUGAAUUGACCCUCAUAGCCCUCAAAUAAAUAGGUUGAAUCAAAUUAAAUCUAAACGGAUUAAAUGGGUCAUAAACAUGUUAAAUUGAUUAAACAUGUCUUGAAUAGGUUAGGCCAUAACUGUAUUGAUCCAGCCCAAUUAUUAAAUGGCUUGAAAUGGUUUAGAUAAGCUGGCGCUCUAAACUUGAACUUGGCACAUCUAAUAAAUAGGUUAAAUCUGAACUCGUUCAUCUCGAGUCGAUUCGAGUCAGGAGACAUGCUAAUUUGCAUCCUCAAUUUUCUUGCAUGCACUAAGCCUAAACAAAUCACAAUGGCACAUCAACUGCAUCUUCACACUACACAAACCAAAUGCCUCACAAGUGGCAUGCCCAAAUCUUUCCAUACAUAAAUAAAAUUCAAACAAACAACCAUUCCCAAGAUUGGAUAUUGCUAAAAAAAGAAACAAAAAAUUCUGAGUCUCGUUAACGGUCAAAUUUGUCCGUUGGUGACAGAAAUCUUCCAGAGUGAUCUAGAAUGCAAUUGCCACGUAUGACUCCCAUCCGAGACUUAGCGUGCUCCUCCGGAAACCAGAAGGAUGCUUCUUCUAGAACCGGUGACCAAACCUCGCCGCCAAUCCAUCAAAGAAGUCGUCAAACUUUUACCGACAAAAAAUAAGUCUUCAAACAUUUUUAUUCGGCCGUCCACGGCCAGAUAUGCAACAAUGAAAGCCAAGUCAAAAGAUAACACGCCAUUAUUUUUAUUCUUUUCUUUUGUGGCACGCAUUUUUUUUUUAAUUUUAAGCACAAUCUAAAAAACAAAUUAUUAUCUAUACUGCAUACACCCAGCCAGUUUACUGAGAUGCUUGCUAGAAAUAUUAUUAACUAUAUGCACAAUCACAUGAUGCAUGUAGUAUGAGAAUCCGUGCGGACGUAUAUUUUAGAAUUAUUCGUUGAAUGAAUUUUGAGUAUUUAUACAUAAAUAAAAAACCUAAAUAAUAUAUUUCGGCUAACUAUUUUGGAUAAGAUUCUAUGCUGCUAUAAAUAAUAUCAAAACAUAUUCGACACAUAUUCUAUAGAAUAUGGAUUAUAAGACAUUGUAAUACGUAUUCAUCAGAAUUGAUCAUGAAUUGAUUAUAGUGCUUGUGAUUAGAUUUAUAUAAAUUUAAAUUUUUAGCAUGACGAGCUUGUUAAAGCUCAAAUGGCGAGCCUAUGCCUGUGAUUGGUGGAACAGGGUGAAACACGGUGACGCGGGUGCAUAUAAUUUCUCUGACUGACGUUAGGAAGCAUCAAAGCAAGCUCCUAAAUUUUUUCUAGAAAACGUGUCCGGUCGGUGAUUCGUUAUAAAAAUCUACGGCCAGAUUCACGUGCCAAUGCUCUGCCUGCGGCCUUUAUAUUUUGACCUCUCCCCUUCCAAACGAUCCCGACAACCAAUCCCUAUCUCCAUCCAACGCCUCCUCUCGGUUCUGGUUUCUUAGAUAUCAAUCUCUCCCAGCCAAUCUCUGCAUCGAUCUGCUUAAUAUAUCUUCAUGGAGCGAAGCAGUUCGUUCGGGACGUCAUGGGCGGACCAGUGGGAUUACGGUGAUUCCGAGCCGGUGCAGGAGAAGAAGAAGAGCGGCGGCGUGAAGAGCGGGGUCGAGAAGACGAAAGCCGUGGCUUCUACAGGUCUCAAGAAGGUGAAAGAGGGCACCACUUCUGGGUUCCAAUGGAUCAAGGACAAGUACCAGAAGAGGACACAAAAGCACUGAAGCGUAUAUAGAUUUCUUUUGCAGCCUGUAUUCGUUUGCUUUUGAGUCGAAUGGCCUUCCUCUGUUUCCCCUGCUGCUCUGUUGUAUAACUUAGAAAGUAUUUCGUUUUAGAGGCGCUGAUUGGAUUUGUUGUAUAUUGAUACUUAUUGUCACUUUGUUUGUUGUUUGAAAAAGAUUAAUGAUCAGUAGGAGAAUAUAUGUAUUUUUAUUUUUUAUUUUGCGUGUUCUUUUCUAGUUUUUUUUUUCUUGGUUGGACUAUUGGUUGUUGGUUUAUGACAAUCCACUGGUUAUUCUAGAAUUCGAAUUUUAAGCACCAUCUUUGCUGAAACUUCGUGAUAUGUUAUACUCUUUUUAGGAAAAAAUGAUAAGGAAACUUAUUGAGCAGGUAGUACUUUUUUUUCCUUCAAAGAAAAUGAGACUAGUGAUUUUUAAUAUAUGUAUCCAAUAAACAACAAUCCCAUAGAAAAGCAAUAGGAAUUUCUACAGCUGGGGUUGUUAAAAUUCAUCCCCCAUCCUUCUUUCUUCUUCUGGGGUAGGUCCGUCCUCAAGAUACAACAAUCCGAC